UAUGAUUUUCAUCUACACUAAUAAUACAUUGAAUCAAUUUAAGACAUUUGCCUUUACAGAAGACAAAACUAAUUAAAUGAGAGACACCAUGCAGAUUAAAGCAAAGCUCCUCCUCCUGUCAGUCCCUCUCAGUUUCAGUGUUGUAUUAAGUUGCUCCUCCAGCACCACCUCUCCUCAUCCUCCAACCCCUCUCAUCUGUCAGCAGUAAGCUCACUUUCCAAGUCACAAGGCCAUUCUCAGCACACACUGCCAACAUGCUGGGGACCCUCUGCACUCUCAUCACUGCUCUAACAUGUGUGAGUGGUGUGACCGUGGUGACACAGAAGCCUCCUGUUGUCACGGUGAGGAAAGGAGAGACAGCCACCAUGGACUGUAACCUGGGGACUGUUACUACCCAUGUUGCUUACUGGUAUAAACAGAUUCCAGGAGGAGUUCCUCAGUUUAUGUUGUAUUUUCAUCACGCCGAUAGCUCUCAACCUAUGGCUCUAGUUUCUCCUCUCCAAAGUUCACAUCUAAUCAUCAGUCAACAUCAGAUUAUCGUCCAGUUAUUAAAGUGAUGACGUUUGGUAUCAUUUCGGGCAUGUAA